rnacentral:rRNA from 1 species
CCUACGGGAGGCAGCAGUGGGGAAUAUUGCGCAAUGGGCGAAAGCCUGACGCAGCGACGCCGCGUGAGGGAUGAAGGUCUUCGGAUCGUAAACCUCUGUCAGCAGGGAAGAACGGUCACUGUGCUAAUCAGCAGUGAAUUGACGGUACCUGCAGAUGAAGCACCGGCUAACUCCGUGCCAGCAGCCGCGGUAAUACGGAGGGUGCAAGCGUUAAUCGGAAUUACUGGGCGUAAAGCGCUCGUAGGCGGUAUGUCAAGUCAGAGGUGAAAUCCCCGCGCUCAACGGGGGAACUGCCUUUGAAACUGGCAGACUGGAGUGUGUGAGAGGAUAGUGGAAUGCCAGGUGUAGGAGUGAAAUGCGUAGAUAUCUGGAGGAACAUCAGUGGCGAAGGCGACUAUCUGGCACAUAACUGACGCUGAGGAGCGAAAGCGUGGGUAGCAAACAGGAUUAGAUACCCUUGUAGUC